rnacentral:lncRNA from 1 species
AUGAAGAAUAUAAUGAAAGAAUCAGAGGCCUUAAUGGAAAUGGGUUUUGAAGCUGAGGCUUUGGAGCAAAGAAAGGUCCUAGAACAGUUCUCUCUUCCAGAAGCUGUUGUACAGACCGCACCAAAAUCUUCUAAGUCUGUCUCUGGUGAAAAGAAAAAGCUGCAGUCAAAACUGUUCACCAGAAGUAAAGAAGAUCAAGAACGGAUUUUAGCGGACAAGGUUGCCAACAUUCUAAUGUCAAAUGAUAGCCCUGUGGACGUAAGACUUGAAUCUCCUGAAAAUGUUAAAUCCAAGAUCCAAUCUAAAUUCAAAGCUAAAUCCAAGAACUUAUGGCAGCUUUCCACUGAAGAAAUUGAGUCGAGCGAAGUAUUUUAUGUCCCUAAUCUAUCUGAUUCUAUAGCUCCGAGUUCUGGAAACAUUUAUGAGCGCCUUAAAUCCAAAGCUCCUAUCCAAGAAUCUGAUUCUCCGAUCAAGUCUGAUGCAUAUUUGGAAGAAAUUUUCAAACCAGCUUUUUCUAAGAGCUCAGACGCAACGUCAGCCAUCAUUCAAUCAAGUUCAGUGAAGUCAAAAAUACGUUUACUUCUAAUUCAGAAUGCAUUAAAGCAGGAAACAAGCAAGACUCGAAUUCAAAGCCCAAUCGAAUGCAGUCAACGCAAGCGUCAUCAUUGCAGGACUUAUCAACCAGCUGGCGGCACUUGCUGAGGAGUAAAACUUUUAGUGAUGUGAAAUUCUCUCGAAAGAAGAAAGGGAAAUUCCUGCUCACAGACUUGUUUUUUUUGCGCGCUGCCCUGGUGUCCUCGAUGAUUUGAUCUCAGAGACAGAUCCCAGAACGAAUUGUCAAACCCACUUGUUGGCUUGGAAUGAUUUUACUGCAACUUGCAUCGAUUUGUUUCUAGAAUUUCUGUACUGUGCUACUGUAGAUUUUUCAAAGUUGGAUGAUGGCGUAAAAACAGAACUCUGUAGUCUUGCAGAGAGGUAUGAAGAUUCAGCGCUUAUCAGAUAUCUUCAUAUGCUGAGUGCUUCGGUGAAGAGAGUCCUAAUUUUCUUUCCGUCUAUGCAGGAGAGGCUUCGAAUAAGCAACAAAUCACAAAAUCGCUGUAUUUUGAAUCGCCCGUCAGCAAUCAAACAAAACCAAAAAUGCAAUUAAAUCCUUUUGUCAGUGCCUCGAAAAUAAACCACGGUCAUAUACCACGAAAUAUAAGUCGUCCUGAAUGCAAACAAGUUCCAGCCUCUUCAGAAGGUGCUCAAAAUAAAAAUAAAUCAGUGACAAACUAAACAGAAGUCUAUCUCCUGACAUCUUUGGUGCAGAAGAAGCUCCAUCACAGAAUACAUCAUUUUUGGAAAGCCAUCCUGAAAAUUUACUUAGGUAGUUGAGUCAAUUCAAAGCUUGUCAAAGCAGGGUGAUGAAGAAACAAUUGACAACAUAGUUUCUCAUGUCUCUGAAAAAGAAGGUACCAAAGAUACUGAUUUAGAAUUUGAUAUCAAAGCAAUUGACUCCGUAGAGGAAGAGCUUUUCAAGUUGAGCGAUGAUAAAAACACAAAAUCCAGUCAAGGAACUGAGAUCGAGAUCAUAUCUCCAGUCAAAAGUGCUUCUCAGGAAAUGAGAGACACCGUUACCGAAAAACAUUACAGUCAAGAAAAUACGGACAGCACUUGCUUUGACAACAAAGAAAAUUCUGCUCCUUUUGAAUUACCACACCUUUCUGAUGAGGAUGCUACAUCUAGUAACGGCUUUCCCUCCCGCAAACGGAAGUCAUCUAUUUCAGACCACAGUGAUAAAUCAAAGAAAAGUUGCCUCGAAGACAAGAAGAUAGUCUCUGUCGAUUUGACACUAGAAUCAUCUGCUUCCACUGUUGGAACUCUUCAGUUGGACAGUUUAUCCAAUCCUAACUCUCCUCCAAUUCUUGAUAAUAUCGGCCAUGAAGAAGAAUGUAACAAGUCCGAUUUAAAUUGCAGUGAUUCAACUGUGAUCCUACCAGAAAAUAAAGGAGAGGAAGUAGCAGUCCUGGAUUUAGAAGUGAAGCGGAAGUUCACUCACUUCCUCCGAGUCCGGCUGAAAAUAAUUCCGGAAGCAAAGAGAAACGCAGGCUAAUUACGGGUACAUAAGUCCAUUUUGGGAAGCAUUCGAUGAAGGGUACGGUGUAUUUACUGCUGCUGAAGACUCACCCCCAAGUCACCACUUGAGUGUCGGAAAGAAAGUAGUAAUGACGGAAUUCCCCAAAAACUGCCAGUCAAGAUAAAAUUGUUGUAUCAUCAGGCUCCACAUCAAACAAAAACAGUCAAGAUGUAAUUCCUCUCUCCCAGAAGAUCAUCUCAAUCUAAGUGCUACUAGUGUCUCUCCUUUAAAUAAUUCUAGGAAAUCCUGUAGCUCACCUUUCAAUCAGUCUGUCAGGUUGAAAUCCAAAUCACCCUCUCCGGUAAAACUCAGUGCCAAAGUUGUAGACCGCAGUGCCUCACCGAAGAAACGACGACAGCAGAGCGAAAAUUUUGCCAAUGAUUCGUUGUUUGAGAAUGAAUCACUACUCAAUCAAAUUGAAGGCAAUAUUCAACAAGCCCCAGAAACUUCCAAUGCCCCUUGUC